rnacentral:lncRNA from 1 species
AAAUGCAAAGGAGGAUGCUGGAUUAGAAAUCACAGCAGCUGGGUUGUCACUUGUUUAUAUGUGACUUCAGAUAAAUCACAACCUCUCAGAGCUCUCAUUUUUUAUAAGCAUGGAUAAAAAUGUCCAUCUUUCUAACCUCACCUGGUUAUUGUGAAAACCAGAUGAAUGUGGAUAUUCAUAAUCUCUGUAAUGUCAUGUAAGUACUCAUUGUUAUAUAAAUAUUGAUGUUACAGGAAAACCAUAUGGAUAAGAUUAUAAACACAAGAGAGGAAACAAAGGAUUAAGUAAGCUGAAGAAAUGCCAAAUUUCUUACUUCAAGGAAAAGGAACUAAAAAACAUUUUGUCCAGAUUUACCUGCCAGAGGAUUCCAGGGAAUGGCACUAGGCUGGUCCAACAGGGAUGUCCAGGUAUAAGAAAAAGGAAACCAAAUAAGAAGAGAGGACAAUAGAUUCAACAUGGAUAAAUCAGAGAUAUGUGAGAAUGAAUAAAAAGAACAAAAACUAAACUAAAGAAACAGUGAAUUUGUCUUCUAUUUUACUCUUAAAAAGAAGUUCUGGUCAUGAAUAUAAGAGAGUCAGCAGCCAAAAUGAAAAUCCAGCAGUUCCUUAAGGAAGUAAAAAUUUUCAACCAUUUCUAAUGUAUACGUAAA